rnacentral:lncRNA from 1 species
CAGCAACAAGGGGUACGCCUUCGUCAACUUCACGACGGCGGAGGCGGCGCGCGGGCUGCACUACGCCCUGCACGGCCGCGGCUGGCACCGCUCGCUCGGCAGCGGCAAGAUCAUCAACAUCGGCGCCGCCUACAUGCAGGUAAUCAACGAACGUGCACGCACGCACGGGGGCCUCCUCCGUCCCGUCGAUGCAUUCAUGCAUGCAUGCGAUCUGUUCUCUGACGCCGUGCGCCGUUGGUGUUUGCAGGGCAGGCAGAGGCUGGUGAGGCACUUCAGCCGCUCCACCUUCGCGUGCCACACCGACGAGUACCUCCCGGCCCUCUUCUCGCCGCCGCGCGACGGCGCCGCCGACCCGCCCCCGGCCGAGCCCAGGCACCUCGGCCGACGUGUCCCUCCGCGCGCCACCCCCGCCGUCCAGCCGUCGGCGCCGGCGCAGCAGCUGGUGUGGAUGCGUCGAGGCGAGGCUAGCUAGCCAGCUAGCUAGCUACUCCAAGCAUGGCCGCGUGAUCUCAAACGAUGCAAGUUUCCGCUACGCGCGCUCUGUUGGUUCGCUCGAUCGUUCCCGGUGGCGUGGCACGGUCAAGUCCGGAGUCCGGCCAUGGCUUCCCUGCUUUCUUUCUCCUUUGGUGCAACGGCCGAGCGGAAGGCUGCUGGGGUUUGGACAUUAGCGUAGCAGCUUUAUCAAGCUGCAGACUGUAGUAGCCCUGUACUGUCUUCUUUGAUCGUGUCGUCUCGUGUAAUCCGGGAGCCCCGCCCUAUCAGUCCAUGUAGCGUGUGGUUUGUUGGCUCGUGUCAUCUCGUGUUCUUUCUUUCUUUCCGUCAAAAGAAUGCCUUAUUUGAUCAGAACCAGAAGGCCUGUAUGCACUGCCAGCACCAGCAUAGCAUGUGCAUGCAUGCAGCUCCGUGUACGUGUACCAGUGGCUAUAAUCGCAGCGGCUCUGUGUGUUUGA